rnacentral:rRNA from 1 species
ACGAACGCUGGCGGCGUGCUUAACACAUGCAAGUCGAGCGGUAAGGCCCCUUCGGGAGUACACGAGCGGCGAACGGGUGAGUAACACGUGAGCAAUCUGCCCUUCACAUCGGGAUAACCCUCGGAAACGAGAGCUAAUACCGAAUACGACCACUUCAGGCAUCUGAUGGUGGUGGAAAGUUCCGGCGGUGAAGGAUGAGCUCGCGGCCUAUCAGCUUGUUGGUGGGGUAACGGCCCACCAAGGCAACGACGGGUAGCCGGCCUGAGAGGGUGACCGGCCACACCGGGACUGAGACACGGCCCAGACUCCUACGGGAGGCAGCAGUGGGGAAUAUUGGACAAUGGGCGAAAGCCUGAUCCAGCAACGCCGCGUGAGGGAUGACGGCCUUCGGGUUGUAAACCUCUUUCAGCAGGGACGAAGCGCAAGUGACGGUACCUGCAGAAGAAGCACCGGCCAACUACGUGCCAGCCGCCGCCGUAAUAC